GGUCCCGCCUGCCCUGUGACUAUUAGUUUAACGGCCGCGGUAUUUUGACCGUGCGAAGGUAGCGCAAUCACUUGUCUUUUAAAUGGAGACCUGUAUGAAUGGCAUAACGAGGGCUUAACUGUCUCCUCUUUCAAGUCAAUGAAAUUGAUCUUCCCGUGCAGAAGCGGGAAUAAGACCAUAAGACGAGAAGACCCUAUGGAGCUUUAGACACUAAGACAGAUCAUGUUAAACACCCCUAAACAAAGGGUUAAACCAAAUGACCCCUGCCCUAAUGUCUUUGGUUGGGGCGACCGCGGGGAAACAAAAAACCCCCACGUGGAAUGGGAACACCCCCUCCUACAACUAAGAGCUGCAGCUCAAGUUAACAGAAUUUCUGACCAAUAAGAUCCGGCAAUGCCGAUCAACGAACCGAGUUACCCUAGGGAUAACAGCGCAAUCCCCUUUUAGAGCCCAUAUCGACAAGGGGGUUUACGACCUCGAUGUUGGAUCAGGACAUCCUAAUGGUGCAGCCGCUAUUAAGGG
rnacentral:rRNA from 1 species